UACGGGGGGGGCAAGCGUUGUUCGGAAUUACUGGGCGUAAAGGGCGCGUAGGCGGUUGGAUAAGUCAGCUGUGAAAACCACGGGCUUAACUCGUGGCCUGCAGUUGAAACUGUCGGGCUUGAGGCCGGGAGGGGGUAGCGGAAUUCCCAGUGUAGCGGUGAAAUGCGUAGAUAUUGGGAGGAACACCGGUGGCGAAGGCGGCUACCUGGACCGGUUCUGACGCUGAUGCGCGAAAGCGUGGGUAGCAAACAGG
rnacentral:rRNA from 1 species